rnacentral:rRNA from 1 species
AUUGAACGCUGGCGGCAUGCCUAACACAUGCAAGUCGAACGGGGGUAGGGGCAACUCUACUUCAGUGGCGGACGGGUGAGGAAUGCGUCGGAAUCUACCCUAUGGUGGGGGAUAACACAGGGAAACUUGUGCUAAUACCGCAUGAUGUCGAGAGACCAAAGCAGGGGACCGCAAGGCCUUGCGCGAUAGGAUGAGCCGACGCCCGAUUAGCUAGUUGGUAGGGUAAAGGCCUACCAAGGCGACGAUCGGUAGCUGGUCUGAGAGGAUGAUCAGCCACACUGGGACUGAGACACGGCCCAGACUCCUACGGGAGGCAGCAGUGGGGAAUAUUGGACAAUGGGCGCAAGCCUGAUCCAGCAAUGCCGCGUGUGUGAAGAAGGCCUGCGGGUUGUAAAGCACUUUUGUUCGGGAAGAAAACGGAUCGGUUAAUACCCGGUUCGGAUGACGGUACCGAAAGAAUAAGCACCGGCUAACUUCGUGCCAGCAGCCGCGGUAAAGUAUCG